rnacentral:rRNA from 1 species
GUAGGUGGCAAGCGUUGUCCGGAAUUAUUGGGGCGUAGAGCGCGCGCAGGCGGUUCUUUAAGUCUGAUGUGAAAGCCCACGGGCUCAACCGUGGAGGGUCAUUGGAAACUGGAGAACUUGAGUACAGAGGAGGAAAGCGGAAUUCCACGUGUAGCGGUGAAAUGCGUAGAGAUGUGGAGGAACACCAGUGGCGAAGGCGGCUUUCUGGUCUGUAACUGACGCUGAGGCGCGAAAGCGUGGGGAGCAAACAGGAUUAGAUACCCUGGUAGUCCACGCCGUAAACGAUGAGUGCUAAGUGUUAGGGGGUUUCCGCCCCUUAGUGCUGCAGCUAACGCAUUAAGCACUCCGCCUGGGGAGUACGGCCGCAAGGCUG